CCUACGGGUGGCUGCAGUGGGGAAUAUUGGACAAUGGGCGAAAGCCUGAUCCAGCCAUGCCGCGUGUGUGAAGAAGGCCUUCGGGUUGUAAAGCACUUUCAGUGGGGAAGAAAGCCUUGGGGCUAAUACCCUCGAGGAAGGACAUCACCCACAGAAGAAGCACCGGCUAACUCCGUGCCAGCAGCCGCGGUAAUACGGAGGGUGCGAGCGUUAAUCGGAAUUACUGGGCGUAAAGCGCGCGUAGGCGGUCUGAUAAGCCGGUUGUGAAAGCCCCGGGCUCAACCUGGGAACGGCAUCCGGAACUGUCAGGCUAGAGUGCAGGAGAGGAAGAUAGAAUUCCCGGUGUAGCGGUGAAAUGCGUAGAGAUCGGGAGGAAUACCAGUGGCGAAGGCGGCCUUCUGGACUGACACUGACGCUGAGGUGCGAAAGCGUGGGUAGCAAACAGGAUUAGAUACCCUGGUAGUC
rnacentral:rRNA from 1 species